CCCUUAGAUUGUCUGGGCGGCACGCGCGCUACAAUGAUGCAUUCAAAAAGUCUUCUGACCUUAGAAGGUUGGGUAUUCUCCAAAGUGCAUCGUGAUGGGAAUAGUUUAUUGCAAUUUUUAAUCUUGAACGAGGAAUUCCUAGUAAGUACAGGUCAUCAACGUGUGUUGAUUACGUCCCUGCCCUUUGUACACACCGCCCGUCGCUCCUACCGAUUGGGUGUGCUGGUGAAAUGUUCGGAUCGGCCGUUUGUCGCGGUUUCCGCGUCAUGUGGCUGAGAAGUUCAUUAAACCCUCCCACCUAGAGGAAGGAGAAGUCGUAACA
rnacentral:rRNA from 1 species